GGAAAAUAUAACGGGGCUAAAGUAAGUACCGAAGCUGUAGACUUGAUUUUAUCAAGUGGUAGGAGAGCGUUCUAUUUGCGCCGAAGGUAUACCGGUAAGGAGUGCUGGAGCGAAUAGAAGUGAGCAUGCAGGCAUGAGUAGCGAUAAUUAAUGUGAGAAUCAUUAACGCCGUAAACCCAAGGUUUCCUACGCGAUGCUCGUCAUCGUAGGGUUAGUCGGGUCCUAAGUCGAGUCCGAAAGGGGUAGACGAUGGCAAAUUGGUUAAUAUUCCAAUACCAACAUUAGUGUGCGAUGGAAGGACGCUUAGGGCUAAGGGGGCUAGCGGAUGGAAGUGCUAGUCUAAGGUCGUAGGAGGUUAUACAGGCAAAUCCGUAUAACAAUACUCCGAGAACUGAAAGGCUUUUUGAAGUCUUCGGAUGGAUAGAAGAACCCCUGAUGCCGUCGAGCCAAGAAAAGUUUCUAAGUUUAGCUAAUGUUGCCCGUACCGUAAACCGACACAGGUGGGUGGGAUGAGUAUUCUAAGGCGCGUGGAAGAACUCUCUUUAAGGAACUCUGCAAAAUAGCACCGUAUCUUCGGUAUAAGGUGUGGUUCGCUUCGUAUUAGGAUUUACUCCGAAAGCGAAGAAACUUACAACAAAGAGUCCCUCCCGACUGUUUACCAAAAACACAGCACUCUGCUAACUCGUAAGAGGAUGUAUAGGGUGUGACGCCUGCCCGGUGCUCGAAGGUUAAUUGAUGGGGUUAGCAUUAGCGAAGCUCUUGAUCGAAGCCCGAGUAAACGGCGGCCGUAACUAUAACGGUCCUAAGGUAGCGAAAUUCCUUGUCGGUUAAAUACCGACCUGCAUGAAUGGCGUAACGAGAUGGGAGCUGUCUCAAAGAGGGAUCCAGUGAAAUUGUAGUGGAGGUGAAAAUUCCUCCUACCCGCGGCAAGACGGAAAGACCCCGUGGACCUUUACUACAGCUUGACACUGCUAUUUGGAUAAGAAUGUGCAGGAUAGGUGGGAGGCUUUGAGUAUAUGACGCCAGUUGUAUAUGAGCCAUUGUUGAGAUACCACUCUUUCUUAUUUGGGUAGCUAACCAGCUUGAGUUAUCCUCAAGUGGGACAAUGUCUGGUGGGUAGUUUGACUGGGGCGGUCGCCUCCCAAAUAAUAACGGAGGCUUACAAAGGUUGGCUCAGAACGGUUGGAAAUCGUUCGUAGAGUAUAAAGGUAUAAGCCAGCUUAACUGCAAGACAUACAAGUCAAGCAGAGACGAAAGUCGGUCUUAGUGAUCCGGUGGUUCUGUGUGGAAGGGCCAUCGCUCAAAGGAUAAAAGGUACCCCGGGGAUAACAGGCUGAUCUCCCCCAAGAGCUCACAUCGACGGGGAGGUUUGGCACCUCGAUGUCGGCUCAUCGCAUCCUGGGGCUGGAGCAGGUCCCAAGGGUAUGGCUGUUCGCCAUUUAAAGCGGUACGCGAGCUGGGUUCAGAACGUCGUGAGACAGUUCGGUCCCUAUCUGCCGUGGGCGUAAGAAGAUUGAAGAGAUUUGACCCUAGUACGAGAGGACCGGGUUGAACAAACCACUGGUGUAGCUGUUGUUCUGCCAAGAGCAUCGCAGCGUAGCUAAGUUUGGAAAGGAUAAACGCUGAAAGCAUCUAAGCGUGAAGCCAACUCUAAGAUGAAUCUUCUCUAAGCUCUCUAGAAGACUACUAGUUUGAUAGGCUGGGUGUGUAAUGGAUGAAAGUCCUUUAGCUGACCAGUACUAAUAGAGCGUUUGGCUUAUCUUUA
rnacentral:rRNA from 1 species